UACGAAGGGGGCUAGCGUUGUUCGGAAUUACUGGGCGUAAAGCGCGUGUAGGCGGGUCUUUAAGUCAGGGGUGAAAUCCUGGAGCUCAACUCCAGAACUGCCUUUGAUACUGGGGAUCUUGAGUCCGGAAGAGGUGAGUGGAACUCCGAGUGUAGAGGUGAAAUUCGUAGAUAUUCGGAAGAACACCAGUGGCGAAGGCGGCUCACUGGUCCGGUACUGACGCUGAGGUGCGAAAGCGUGGGGAGCAAACAGG
rnacentral:rRNA from 1 species